rnacentral:lncRNA from 1 species
GGGACUUUAAGAAGUAUUAUUUUUGGGUCGGAUGCCUCCGAAGGCCUGUCGAGGCUUCCGUGGACCGGUCAGCCCCAUGAGAAAUAGAUGACGACACGGAAACGACUCCGUCUGAUUGACCACCUCGCCCCUCUCUGCUCUCAUCAUUGCAAAAACCCUAGAGAGAGAGAGAGAGAGAGAGAGAGAGUGGUAGCGUGGGUACUAAAAGAGGAANNNNNNNNNNNNNNNNNNNNNNNNNNNNNNNNNNNNNNNNNNNNNNNNNNNNNNNNNNNNNNNNNNNNNNNNNNNNNNNNNNNNNNNNNNNNNNNNNNNNNNNNNNNNNNNNNNNNNNNNNNNNNNNAACGAGAGAGAGAGAGAGAGAGAGAGAGAGUGGUAGCGUGGGUCUAAAAGAGGAAUCCCAUGUGCGCGCGGUCUCGGGGGCGCCUUUUGUUUUCGUCUGAAUUCUUUUCAACGCGAUUCCAUGCUGUCCCCCUUUCCCUUAUCCAGUCUCCUCGCGCUUUUCCGGCCGCUUCCACUGGACCGUCUCUUCCAUGCUCCCCUCUGCUGUCCCCCUGAGGCCUUUACUCUCUCUCCUCUCCCUCUCUCCCUCUCUCCCUCUCUCUAGCCCCCAAUGUUUUUGUUGCGGUCAGAAACUUGCUUCUCGUCUCGUCCCCGCAGGAUGAGAGUGUUCCGGCGGACCAGCCAACCUCUCGGGGGCCUAUAAAGUACCCCCGAGUAGCUCCCCGAUGGUAACAUCGUCGAAUAACGAAGAGUUCAUUCUCUUCUUCUCUUUGUACUACACAGCCAUGGCCUUCUUCUCCUCUCGCCUGGUCGUCUUCUUCCUCCUGCUGGCGGUGGCCGCGGCGGAGUACCCGCCCAUGUUGUUCACCAUCGUGAACAACUGCCCCUUCCCCGUUUGGCCCGCCAUCCUGCCCAACACCGGCCACGAGGUCCUCGAGGGCGGCGGCUUCGAGCUCGGCCCCCUCACGCACCGCUCCUUCCCCGCGCCGACCACCCACUGGGCCGGCCGCGUCUGGGGCCGCACCGGCUGCUACCACGGACGCGGCGGCCGCUUCACCUGCGCCACCGGCGACUGCGGCGGCCGCCUGCAGUGCGCUGGCCUCGGCGGCGCUGUCCCUGCCACCCUCGCCCAGCUCUCGCUCCACCACGCCGGGCACCUCGACAAGACCGCCUACAGCGUCAGCCUCGUCGACGGCUUCAACCUGCCGAUGACCGUCACCCCGCACGAGGGCCGCGGCGUGUGCCCCGUCGUCGGCUGCCGAGCCGACCUGCUGCCGUCCUGCCCCCGCGCGCUCCAGCUGAAGUCGCCCUCUCAGCACGUCGUCGGCUGCAAGAGCGGCUGCGUCGCCUUCGGCACCGACGAGCUCUGCUGCCGCAACAAGUACAGCAGCCCCGGCACCUGCCGCUCCUCCAGCUACUCCCAGUACUUCAAGCAGGCCUGCCCCUCCUCCUACACCUACCCCCACGACAACCCUUCGCUCGUCCACGACUGCGCCGCCCCCAAGGAGCUCAAGAUCAUCUUCUGCCACUGACUCCCGCUUCCCUCGCCCGCGAAACCCUAACUAAUGUUGUUGAACUGUCGUCUCCCUCCGUCCUCCUCUCGUUCAGUUCUCUUCGUCGUCAAUGGUGCAAUGCAUCUUGCUUGUAAUGGAGAUCUGUAGCCAAUCAUCUGCUGCUUUUCUGACUCUUUAUCUAGCUCCUUAUCCGCCUUCCACCGCCUUCUUUCUUCCCUUCCACUGCCUGUUCCCGUGCACCGGCGGCGGCGGCCUAGUGCCGGCCAGAGAGGCAGUGGGGGCGAGGUGCCGGGUUAGGAAGCCGAGGCGAGGGGAUAGAAAUACGGCCUCACGCGAGAGCGUCGGCAUGCGCGCCCAGUUCGUCGUUUUCUGGGGAAGACGAGGCGUCCGGACUGCGUCUCCGGCGGGCCCCUCCCCUUCGCCGUGGUGCCGACCGGCGGCGGGAGGCCGCCGUGGUGCCUUUUAGAUUCGCAUUCUUUCACCCACCAAACCCACUGGCCAUGGUCACAUGGAAAACUCCCUCCCCGCCGCAGUAGACAGCAAGUUUCAAUGUGGGCAGCGCAGAUCUGCUCUCUUCGGACAGCAGUCUGUCCUGUCUGCAGAGAGAGAGAUAAAGAGUGACCCCUCCUCUCUCUCUCUCUCUUGUUCGUGCUAUUUAUGGGCAAAGCUCCAAAGUCAAGAUACAGAAGCACACGCUAAUAAACAUCUCAUAUUGGGUAAUCCGAAAGGAUUAUGACUACGGAUUAAAGUAAUAAGGGAGGCGCCGGGGGAAGGUGAAUGGAUGCCUCGUCAGGCGCGGCGCUGGUGGGGCGGGCUCACGUGGCUGCCCAGGCGGACGACGAUGCCGUCCAGGUCCCGCACGUAGCCGACCUUCUGUCCCCACUCCUCCUCCGGCGCGCUCACCGGCGCCGCCCCGUUCUCCACCGCCCGCUGCGGCGGAGCGACAACGGUGCGUAAGAACACAAAAAAAAAAGGACCACUCGUCGGAGACGGAUGAGAAGGGGUGGGAGGAGAGGGAUGGGUGAC